UACGGGGGGGGUAAGCGUUGUUCGGAAUUACUGGGCGUAAAGGGCUCGUAGGCGGCCAACUAAGUCGGACGUGAAAUCCCUCAGCUUAACUGGGGAACUGCGUCCGAUACUGGAUGGCUUGGAUUUGGGAGAGGGAUGCGGAAUUCCAGGUGUAGCGGUGAAAUGCGUAGAUAUCUGGAGGAACACCGGUGGCGAAGGCGGCAUCCUGGACCAAUUCUGACGCUGAGGCACGAAAGCGUGGGGAGCAAACAGG
rnacentral:rRNA from 1 species